AGAGUUUGAUCAUGGCUCAGGAUGAACGCUAGCUACAGGCUUAACACAUGCAAGUCGAGGGGAAACGACAUCGAAAGCUUGCUUUUGAUGGGCGUCGACCGGCGCACGGGUGAGUAACGCGUAUCCAACCUGCCCACCACUUGGGGAUAACCUUGCGAAAGUAAGACUAAUACCCAAUGAUAUCUCUAGAAGACAUCUGAAAGAGAUUAAAGAUUUAUCGGUGAUGGAUGGGGAUGCGUCUGAUUAGCUUGGUUGGCGGGGUAACGGCCCACCAAGGCUACGAUCGAGUAGGGGUUCUGAGAGGAACGGUCCCCACAUUGGAACUGAGACACGGUCCAAACUCCGUACGGAGGCA
rnacentral:rRNA from 1 species